rnacentral:rRNA from 1 species
GGAUAUCUAACCUCGGUCCGUGAUCCGGAUCAGGGACAGUGCCUGGUGGGUAGUUUAACUGGGGCGGUUGCCUCCUAAAAGGUAACGGAGGCGCCCAAAGGUUCCCUCAGCCUGGUUGGCAAUCAGGUUUUGAGUGUAAGUGCACAAGGGAGCUUGACUGUGAGACAGGCAUGUCGAGCAGGGACGAAAGUCGGGACUAGUGAUCCGGCGGUGGCUUGUGGAAGCGCCGUCGCUCAACGGAUAAAAGGUACCCCGGGGAUAACAGGCUGAUCUUGCCCAAGAGUCCAUAUCGACGGCAUGGUUUGGCACCUCGAUGUCGGCUCGUCGCAUCCUGGGGCUGGAGUAGGUCCCAAGGGUUGGGCUGUUCGCCCAUUAAAGCGGUACGCGAGCUGGGUUUAGAACGUCGUGAGACAGUUCGGUCCCUAUCCGCUGUGCGCGUAGGAAACUUGAGAAGAGCUGUCCCUAGUACGAGAGGACCGGGAUGGACGAACCUCUGGUGUGUCAGUUGUUCUGCCAAGAGCACGGCUGAUUAGCUACGUUCGGAAGUGAUAACCGCUGAAAGCAUCUAAGCGGGAAGCACGCUUCAAGAUGAGGUUUCCAUGGGCUUCGGCCCGAGAGGCUCCCAGCUAGACUACUGGGUUGAUAGGCCAGACGUGGAAGCACAGUAAUGUGUGUAGCUGACUGGUACUAAUAAGCCGAUAACUUGACACAACAAAG